AGUGGUGUAGCUCAGCAGUAGACUGCUUUGCCUAGCAUCCAUGAAAUCCUGGUUUCCAUCCCCGUCACUGGGGGAAAAAUUGUGCAAACUAGUUGGAAAAAUAAGGAUAAGGACAACAAAGAUGCAAAUACAGUAAUAAUUUCUGAAUCCUGAAUUCUGCUGCCAACUCUACCUGUUCACCUCGGUGCCUUCAACUCCCUUCUGUCCCUUGUACUGUGCUCUAGCCAUGUUGGCAUUCCAUGACUUCCUCCAGUGCUUCCUGUGGUAGUCUCUCCCUCCUCCCUCCUGCCAUGUCUUCCUAUGCUCUAGACCUUGCCACUUCUUUUCCCUCUGUCUACAACUCACUUCUCUCCCACACCUUUUUCUUGUCUGAUGAAUUUCUACUUAUCUUUUAGACUCCAGCUGGAAAAUUCUACCUCCCCUGAAGCUAUCCAUAACCCCUCAACUUUAGUAAGUGCUCAGUUAUGUAGUUCUAGAGCUGCAAAACUUCCCUAUUGUAAUGAUCAGACUUUGUGUGAUGUGUGAUUUUUUAUAAAAUGCUUUUCUACUAAACUGUAAACUCCAUGAGGACAGAGAUGCUGUUUACUGUGC
rnacentral:lncRNA from 1 species